ACGCUAGCUACAGGCUUAACACAUGCAAGUCGUGGGGCAGCGGAUGCUUAGCUUGCUAAGUAUGCCGGCGACCGGCGCACGGGUGAGUAACGCGUACCGAACCUGCCCAUCACACAGGGAUAGGCUUGCGAAAGCAAGAUUAAUACCUGAUGGUCUCAAUUUUAUGCAUGUAGGAUUGAGUAAAGCCUUCGGGCGGUGAUGGAUGGCGGUGCGUCCCAUUAGGAAGUUGGCGGGGUAACGGCCCACCAAUCCUUCGAUGGGUAGGGGUUCUGAGAGGAAGGUCCCCCACAUUGGAACUGAGAUACGGUCCAAACUCCUACGGGAGGCAGCAGUGAGGAAUAUUGGUCAAUGGGCGAGAGCCUGAACCAGCCAAGUAGCGUGCGGGAUGAAGGCCCUUGUGGUCGUAAACCGCUUUUAUCAGUGAAUAAAGUGCAUCACGAGUGGUGUCAUUGCAGGUAGCUGAAGAAAAAGGACCGGCUAAUUCCGUGCCAGCAGCCGCGGUAAUACGGAAGGUCCGGGCGUUAUCCGGAAUUAUUGGGUUUAAAGGGAGCGCAGGCGGGAGUGUAAGUCAGCUGUUAAAUAUCAGGGCCCAACUCUGUUAUGCAGUUGAAACUAUAUUUCUUGAGUACGCACAGGGAUGGCGGAAUUCAGGGUGUAGCGGUGAAAUGCUUAGAUAUCCUGAAGAACUCCGAUCGCGAAGGCAGCCAUCCGGAGCGUAACUGACGCUGAGGCUCGAAGGUGCGGGUAUCAAACAGGAUUAGAUACCCUGGUAGUCCGCACGGUAAACGAUGAAUACUCGCAGUUCGGUUAUUAUGGUCGAGCUGUCCAGCGAAAGCGUUAAGUAUUCCACCUGGGGAGUACGCCGGCAACGGUGAAACUCAAAGGAAUUGACGGGGGCCCGCGACAAGCGGGAGGAACAUGUGGUUUAA
rnacentral:rRNA from 1 species